AACGCUAGCUACAGGCUUAACACAUGCAAGUCGAGGGGCAGCAUCAUCAAAGCUUGCUUUGAUGGAUGGCGACCGGCGCACGGGUGAGUAACACGUAUCCAACCUGCCGACAACACUGGGAUAGCCUUUCGAAAGAAAGAUUAAUACCGGAUGGCAUAGUUUUCCCGCAUGGGAUAAUUAUUAAAGAAUUUCGGUUGUCGAUGGGGAUGCGUUCCAUUAGGCAGUUGGCGGGGUAACGGCCCACCAAACCAACGAUGGAUAGGGGUUCUGAGAGGAAGGUCCCCCACAUUGGAACUGAGACACGGUCCAAACUCCUACGGGAGGCAGCAGUGAGGAAUAUUGGUCAAUGGACGAGAGUCUGAACCAGCCAAGUAGCGUGAAGGAUGACUGCCCUAUGGGUUGUAAACUUCUUUUAUACGGGAAUAAAGUUAGCCACGUGUGGCUUUUUGUAUGUACCGUAUGAAUAAGGAUCGGCUAACUCCGUGCCAGCAGCCGCGGUAAUACGGAGGAUCCGAGCGUUAUCCGGAUUUAUUGGGUUUAAAGGGAGCGUAGGUGGACUGGUAAGUCAGUUGUGAAAGUUUGCGGCUCAACCGUAAAAUUGCAGUUGAUACUGUCAGUCUUGAGUACAGUAGAGGUGGGCGGAAUUCGUGGUGUAGCGGUGAAAUGCUUAGAUAUCACGAAGAACUCCGAUUG
rnacentral:rRNA from 1 species